UGUUGGAGAAUAUAAUUAAUUACCUUGAUGCACUGCAGAUUUUCCUCUUAAUUACCGGAUAUUCUGUUCUCUAAUUUUAUUUACUUUCCUACCUUUAUUUCUUUAAUUCAGGGAUUGUACAGCUUUGCAUUUAGUUACUUUCCUUUAUUAAUCUUUAGAAGUCAACUAGAAUUUUGUAUAUAAUCCCUUGUAUUUUAUUAUGUAAAAGUAAUAAGAUGUGAUAGCAUUUUCCAG
rnacentral:lncRNA from 1 species